UUUCCUCUAACAAGCAAGUAAGCCAACUACCUUAUCUCAUUAGCGAAGCUAGAGUACAUGAGUAGACUGCUUUUCUUAGUUAGAAAAUGGAAUUGAUAAAAAAAACUUUCUGUGGGCUUUGCUGCUCUCCCCAGGAAAGAUCAGAAGGUCAGAAGUGGAUUCGCCCUGUGUGCUGCUCGCGACGCCCCUGUAGAAAAGCAAGCUUCUUCCCCUUACUUAUUUUAUUAGUAAUGACCGCCCUUAGAUGCCGUUGCGAGUUUGUUCGCGGUAGUAUUUACGUUAGUAGUGCAGCCCUUCCUUCUUCCUCCUUUGCGUCAAAUCUUUUUCUAUAGGUUCCUUUUUCAAAAGAUAUGACGAAUAAGCAAGUCGAUCUUAGGUGCUUUGAUUGGUCCAUUGAAGAUGGAUUCAAGUCCCAGCGGAGUUGCUGCAGCUAUGCCCUUUUCC
rnacentral:lncRNA from 1 species